ACUCCUUGGUCGAGAACCGGGGAGUUUGACUGGGGCGGUACGUCUGUCAAAGGGCAACGCAGGUGUCCCAAGGCGAGCUCAGCGUGGACGGAAACCACACGUCGAGCAAAAAGGCAAAAGCUCGCUCGAUCUCGAUUUUCAGAACGAAAAAAGAAAAACAACCGUAAAAUAUAAGCAUGGGGCUUUUGUCCACUUU
rnacentral:ncRNA from 1 species